rnacentral:rRNA from 1 species
UACGUAGGGGGCAAGCGUUGUCCGGAAUCAUUGGGCGUAAAGCGCGUGUAGGCGGCUCGGUAAGUCCGCUCUGAAAGUCCAGGGCUCAACCCUGGGAUGCGGGUGGAUACUGCCGGGCUCGAGUCCGGAAGAGGCGAGUGGAAUUCCCGGUGUAGCGGUGAAAUGCGCAGAUAUCGGGAGGAACACCAAUGGCGAAGGCAGCUCGCUGGGACGGGACUGACGCUGAGACGCGAAAGCGUGGGGAGCAAACAGG